AGGACGAACGCUGGCGGCGUGCUUAACACAUGCAAGUCGAGCGACAGCAUCCUUUCGGGGGUGUAUGGAGCGGCGAACGGGUGAGUAACACGUGAGCAACCUGCCUCAAGCUCUGGGAUAACCCUCGGAAACGGGGGCUAAUACUGGAUAUAACCUUUCGGUGCAUGUCGGGGGGUGGAAAGUUUUUCGGCUUGGGAUGGGCUCGCGGCCUAUCAGCUUGUUGGUGGGGUGAUGGCCUACCAAGGCGACGACGGGUA
rnacentral:rRNA from 1 species